GAAAGUUCACGGCAAAAAGGGUAAUUAUAUUUCUCCUUCCUCUCUUGAACUUCUCUGCUUCGGUCCCAUUCUUCUCCCACAACCCAGAUUUCUCAAUGAAUCCAAAGAUGGUUAGCAGUGUUUUUCUCAUUAAAAAAGACCCUUACUUCAAGCGGAAAUAAUAAUGAGGAUUGUUCAGGAAGGAGCUUUUGAAGCAAAGAUGUUGCUUCUGCUGCUGCUGUUGUUGAAUCGGUUGACCUGGAUCUCAGUGCUUCAACUUCUGGUCUCCGUAGAAACGCACUACUUGAGAAACUCAAUUGAGGAGUUGGAAUCAUCCGAGAGCUGAUCAAGAUCUGAAAAGUGGACACUGAACGUUUCUUCUGCGUUUUUCCUAGUCUUGGCACAUGAUAAAGUGAAUUUAAAGGCUAUUUGUCGAUGGAGACAAGCUUAACGUACGGAUUCACGUGACCAUAAAUGUUGAAAUGUUUAGCUUAUGUCUACAUAUUGCCAUAUCUUGGUCAUUUCAGAAUACUUCACAAGUUGAUCCCGACAGUCUGGUGGCUUUGGGUGGUUCAAGUGCCGAAGGUGUGUUACUAGACAUGAUUAAGACUGCCUCAAGCAUGAUUGUCCAGAUAUCACCCGAAGAGCUUUAGAAGAUGACCCAACUGGCUACCUCAUUUCAAGGAGGCACAAUUUAGAAGGGAAGGGGUUUUGAUGCAAUAUGCCAGCUAAAGCUUAUGUAUCCGAUUUUCCUUGUUUACUUCAUGGUGAUGGUCGAGCUGCCAACAGCACGUUCGUCGUUUUAAGUUUGCUUUUUGAGGAACUUCAGGAAAGAACCGGCUGCAUGUGCAUAUGUUGAUAGAGCAAAGCCGCCAAAUGAUGUCGAAUAUGACUGCAAGAUUGAUGAAUCAUGAAUGGAGUACUUGCAGAUGUUUGAGGGUGUGGUGUGAUUAAAUGGCCAAAAGCUAACAUAACUCCAGGAGAAGAGUGACCAAAUUAGAGUGGCUAGGUGAUAGUAGAUUGAAUUCAGUUUUAGUGUUCAAUUAUGUGAUUUCGGGUAGCCAGAAUUUAUUUUUAAAAUUGUACCAGAGAUUCUACUUUUUUUGAAAAUUAAUAAAAAUGUUAUUUUG